AUUGAGAGGUGUUAUCUGGUUUAGAGGUUGGUACCUGAAUUGAGAGGUGUUAUCUGGUUUAGAGGUUGGUACCUGGAUUGAGAGGUGUUAUCUGGUUUAGAGGUUGGUGCCUGGGUUGGGGGGUGUUAUCUGGUUUAGAAGGUUGGUACCUGGAUUGAGAGGUGUUAUCUGGUUUAGUGGUUGGUACCUGGGUUGGGGGGUGUUAUCUGGUUUAGAAGGUUGGUACCUGGAUUGAGAGGUGUUAUCUGGUUUAGAGGUUGGUACCUGGAUUGAGAGGUGUUAUCUGGUUUAGAGGUUGGUACCUGGAUUGAGAGGUGUUAUCUGGUUUAGAGGUUGGUACCUGGAUUGAGAGGUGUUAUCUGGUUUAGAGGUUGGUACCUGGAUUGAGAGUUGUUAUCUGGUUUAGAGAUUGGUACCUGGAUUGAGAGGUGUUAUCUGGUUUAGAGGUUGGUACCUGGAUUGAGAGUUG